rnacentral:rRNA from 1 species
UACAGAGGGGGCGAGCGUUGUUCGGAAUUACUGGGCGUAAAGGGCGCGUAGGCGGCCUGCUAAGUCGAACGUGAAAUCCCCGGGCUCAACCCGGGAACUGCGUCCGAUACUGGUGGGCUUGAAUCCGGGAGAGGGAUGUGGAAUUCCAGGUGUAGCGGUGAAAUGCGUAGAUAUCUGGAGGAACACCGGUGGCGAAGGCGGCAACCUGGACAAGUACUGACACUCAACUACGAAAGCGUGGGGAGCAAACAGG